CAGGAGGCAGCCACACAGUCAGGAUCCUCAAUCCCUGUCUCUUGGGAUUUUCCCAGCCUGCCCUGGGACAGGCCGUGGUCCUCUUUUGAUGGCCUGGGGCAUGCUCUCCACAAGGCAGAAAUUCUCCUUGUCUAGGACUGUGCAUCCAACCUAGAGGGAGAAAGAGCCACUUGACCGUGGAGAAACCUGGCAGACACCACCUUAAUCAAGUGACCUCAGUUCACAUGAUGGUACAAAUUCAAAGUCAAGUAGAUGCCGCCUGGGAGAGUCCUGCCACAAGUGCACCCGGCCAUGAGGAAAGAGCAGCCAAACCCAAAUUCUACAAAAUAACCGACCCGAAAUCUCGAAAGGUGUCAGGCUGUGAAAGGAAGGGAUGUUUACUCUUUGAACGUGGCUACCAUGCUGUGAGGAAGCCCAAACUAGUCCACCUCGAGAGCCUAUGUGUAAGUGGUCCAGCCAACAGCCCUGCUGAGUUCCUGCCGACAGCCAGCAUCAGCCACCAGGAAUGAGAGCAAAGCCUUCUCCAGAAGACUCGGGCCCCACCCACAGUCAUCCCAGCCUUCGAGUUUUCCCAGCUGAGGCUCCAAACAUCACAAAGCAGAGUCGAGGCAUCCCCGAUGGACCCUGUCUGUUCUUGACCUACAGACUCUGGGCAUCAUAAAGUGGUGGUUUUGUGCCACUAAGUGUGGGGUAGUUUGGCGAAGAUGGUGAACUGCCAAAGGAGGCAACUUGGUGGAAGGAUGCUUUGGAAAGUUCACCCUGUCUGCAGCGGGGACAGUGGCUGGGGAGGGCUGAGGCUGGAGACAGGGGGCCUGUCAGUGAAA